UUGGGAUACCAAAAAAACAAAACAAAACAAAACAAAAAAACCCUGAGUUGGUGAUGGCUUCAUGUCCCAUCCUAGUCAAGAAAUGCAGAGCAACCUGUUGUCAUGGAAACCCCUGAGGCCACCAACACAGAAGCACACAGAUGCUGUUCCUAUGUCGACCUUUAAAACAUUGAAUUCAUUUAAUGUGAAGAAUCAAAACACAGACACACCAUUACUUCAGUGAACAUGCCAGCUUCAUUUAACUAAAUGUAUGUUAUGAGAACUAAAGAACCCAGUAUUGGGUUCGAGUCUACUCCUGGUUUUGUCAGUGAUAUAUUCAAACAGAGCAACUGUUCCCUGUGCAGACAGGAAGGGAAUGUUGUGUGGGAAUCCCCAAUAACAAAAAACAAAUAUGGCUGCUCUUGUUGCUAGAAGACAGAAAACAUGUCCACUUUCUGGCACAAAAACACAACAGCACAUUAAUUUGCAGGAAAAAUGUAAACAGAGUACUUCUCUUGACAUUUGUCACUUUUAUUUGGAGAAAAUGAAGAAAUUCUGCAGCCCAAAUCCAACCUCUUUUAGAUACUAAGCAAAUUUUGGGGGAGUCUGUGUGACACAUAACUGCACAAAAAGACCCAGUCAUGCGAACAAACUUCAAAUUAUGUAGUUUCUUGUAUAUUUUUGAGUAGUAAGUGGCACAUCCUCAUCUUCCAGUCUGUUUUGUAACCUUGAACCAGCAGAAGUCUCCAACACAACACUUUUCAAUUUCAUUUAAUUAAUUUACUAUUUGGGUAUCAGAUCAAGAUUCCAAGAACAACAAUCAGUGUCCCAUGAAUGGAGUACUAUUUUUUAAUGACAGAAAUGAUAUUACAACACUAACUGCCAAUUUUACUUUUAACUGUUACAGAUAAACCAACAUGGCAACAGAGAAAUGUUUGAUAGUGUAGUUCUGUGCUCACCAACAAAAUACUGUAUUUCAAUAUCAUAACAAAACAAAUAAUUUAAUAAUUGACAAAUUGAGAUUAAAGUGAUACUGAAAAAAUAAAAAUGGUCAUAAAGUUGAACUGAAUAAAGUCUACUUUAAUGUAGCUUUACUUUGUCAUCAACUCUGCAAGAUCAUCUCUGGGAAUCUUACGACCUAGGCUCUUUUUUGUUGUUGUUUAGAUUUUUUGGGGUCAUGUUUUAAUUUGGGAUUAAACAAAUAAUCGGUGCAAUUUUGAUUUUAAAUGCAAACUGUUGCAGCCAAACCAGGUUAAACCAGUUUCUGCUUCUUGUGAAAAUGUUAUUUCAAGUCUGGAAGCACAGAAGGAUCCCUGCAGACCAAAUGUAAAUAAGAGAUGUUUUAGAAAGGCCAAUUGCAGAGUUAGAUGCUUACCUUAGCCUAGCUGUCCUCCCCUGGUGCUGUUCUCUACCAAGCCAUUACAAGUCAACUGCCAAUGAGGGUUUGCGAGUUGCAUAACAAGCCCCCCAUGUCAAUUACUGAAUGAAAUUUUGAGCCCCAAAACAUUGAAAACUAGAGCCUACGUUGUAAAAUCCUGGAGUCCUCCUUUAAGCAGCCUUAAUGGAUUAACAGGGUUAACUGAUGAUGAAUAAAUGUUGAUUGAUUGAAUUUAUGUAUAUUUAAGUGUAAACGGUCAUCAAUGAAACUGGUGUCAGCUUUCACAUCUUGUGAUUUUUGCAGUUGUUUAUUACUGUACGUGAUGAAAAUUCUUUAAAGCUGUCUUCAUACAACCGAGUGACAGAGCUACACCUCCCCCAAUGUGUUGCUGUCACUCUCUGGUCCAGCUCCGUUGGCUGCUCCAGCAGGUGAGCAAGUCUUACGCCUAAUCCAAGCCACACAUUCAACAAAUAUGCACAAAAUGACAACCAAAAA